rnacentral:lncRNA from 1 species
AAAUAAUCCACGAGAAGUCUCUCAAAUAACUCCGAAUGUGGCAGGCAUAAAUCUGCCAGCAAACUGCUGGAAUGACAAGCCGGUGGCACGAACAACAAUUGCAUCAUCAAGUCGUGACGUUUGACAAAUGAGCCUUGAACCCCGCAGACUCCUAUUUCCACCCACAUACAUCACAUGCGUAUGUCAAGGUGCAACAAACAGCCCUCGGUGGGAGUUGGAUGCUAGAGAUGGCAGCGUGACACGAACUUAACAGUGGGAGGAACUGGGCAAGCAAAGGAAAGGAAACCCGUCGCCUCACGCGACACACAUCUCCAGCAGUGCAGGAGAUCCUUGUGUGUGUUUUUUUUGUUUGGGUAGAAAGUCCUGACUGGUGGCAUAGACCCAGUCACAGUCACAGUUGAGUCAGCACAAAGUCAGCCGAAGUGCUGCUCCUCCCGCGUCGCUUUUUAUGGCAAAUUGUC